GGUUAAGCGACUAAGCGUACACGGUGGAUGCCCUGGCAGUCAGAGGCGAUGAAGGACGUGCUAAUCUGCGAAAAGCGUCGGUAAGGUGAUAUGAACCGUUAUAACCGGCGAUGUCCGAAUGGGGAAACCCAGUGCAAUUCGUUGCACUAUCGUUAACUGAAUACAUAGGUUAACGAGGCGAACCGGGGGAACUGAAACAUCUAAGUACCCCGAGGAAAAGAAAUCAACCGAGAUUCCCCCAGUAGCGGCGAGCGAACGGGGAGCAGCCCAGAGUCUGAAUCAGCUUGUGUGUUAGUGGAACGGUCUGGAAAGUCCGACGGUACAGGGUGAUAGUCCCGUACACCAAAAUGCACAGGUUGUGAACUCGAAGAGUAGGGCGGGACACGUGGUAUCCUGUCUGAAUAUGGGGGGACCAUCCUCCAAGGCUAAAUACUCCUGACUGACCGAUAGUGAACCAGUACCGUGAGGGAAAGGCGAAAAGAACCCCGGCGAGGGGAGUGAAAAAGAACCUGAAACCGUGUACGUACAAGCAGUGGGAGCACCUUCGGGUGUGACUGCGUACCUUUUGUAUAAUGGGUCAGCGACUUAUAUUCUGUAGCAAGGUUAACCGUAUAGGGGAGCCGCAGGGAAACCGAGUCUUAACUGGGCGUUAAGUUGCAGGGUAUAGACCCGAAACCCGGUGAUCUAGCCAUGGGCAGGUUGAAGGUUGGGUAACACUAACUGGAGGACCGAACCGACUAAUGUUGAAAAAUUAGCGGAUGACUUGUGGCUGGGGGUGAAAGGCCAAUCAAACCGGGAGAUAGCUGGUUCUCCCCGAAAGCUAUUUAGGUAGCGCCUCGUGAACUCAUCUUCGGGGGUAGAGCACUGUUUCGGCUAGGGGGUCAUCCCGACUUACCAACCCGAUGCAAACUACGAAUACCGAAGAAUGUUAUCACGGGAGACACACGGCGGGUGCUAACGUCCGUCGUGAAGAGGGAAACAACCCAGACCGCCAGCUAAGGUCCCAAAGUCAUGGUUAAGUGGGAAACGAUGUGGGAAGGCACAGACAGCCAGGAUGUUGGCUUAGAAGCAGCCAUCAUUUAAAGAAAGCGUAAUAGCUCACUGGUCGAGUCGGCCUGCGCGGAAGAUGUAACGGGGCUAAACCAUGCACCGAAGCUGCGGCAGCGACACUAUGUGUUGUUGGGUAGGGGAGCGUUCUGUAAGCCUGCGAAGGUGACCUGUGAGGGUUGCUGGAGGUAUCAGAAGUGCGAAUGCUGACAUAAGUAACGAUAAAGCGGGUGAAAAGCCCGCUCGCCGGAAGACCAAGGGUUCCUGUCCAACGUUAAUCGGGGCAGGGUGAGUCGACCCCUAAGGCGAGGCCGAAAGGCGUAGUCGAUGGGAAACAGGUUAAUAUUCCUGUACUUGGUGUUACUGCGAAGGGGGGACGGAGAAGGCUAUGUUAGCCGGGCGACGGUUGUCCCGGUUUAAGCAUGUAGGCUGAUUGUCCAGGCAAAUCCGGAUAAUCAAGGCUGAGGUGUGAUGACGAGGCACUACGGUGCUGAAGUAACAAAUGCCCUGCUUCCAGGAAAAGCCUCUAAGCAUCAGGUAACAUCAAAUCGUACCCCAAACCGACACAGGUGGUCAGGUAGAGAAUACCAAGGCGCUUGAGAGAACUCGGGUGAAGGAGCUAGGCAAAAUGGUGCCGUAACUUCGGGAGAAGGCACGCUGGUGUGUAGGUGAAGCCCCUGCGGGUGGAGCUGAGACCAGUCGAAGAUACCAGCUGGCUGCAACUGUUUAUUAAAAACACAGCACUGUGCAAACACGAAAGUGGACGUAUACGGUGUGACGCCUGCCCGGUGCCGGAAGGUUAAUUGAUGGGGUUAUCCGUAAGGAGAAGCUCUUGAUCGAAGCCCCGGUAAACGGCGGCCGUAACUAUAACGGUCCUAAGGUAGCGAAAUUCCUUGUCGGGUAAGUUCCGACCUGCACGAAUGGCGUAAUGAUGGCCAGGCUGUCUCCACCCGAGACUCAGUGAAAUUGAACUCGCUGUGAAGAUGCAGUGUACCCGCGGCAAGACGGAAAGACCCCGUGAACCUUUACUAUAGCUUGACACUGAACAUUGAGCCUUGAUGUGUAGGAUAGGUGGGAGGCUUUGAAGCGUGGACGCCAGUCUGCGUGGAGCCAACCUUGAAAUACCACCCUUUAAUGUUUGAUGUUCUAACGUUGGCCCCUGACCGGGGUUGCGGACAGUGUCUGGUGGGUAGUUUGACUGGGGCGGUCUCCUCCCAAAGUGUAACGGAGGAGCACGAAGGUUAGCUAAUCCUGGUCGGACAUCAGGAGGUUAGUGCAAUGGCAUAAGCUAGCUUGACUGCGAGCGUGACGGCGCGAGCAGGUGCGAAAGCAGGUCAUAGUGAUCCGGUGGUUCUGAAUGGAAGGGCCAUCGCUCAACGGAUAAAAGGUACUCCGGGGAUAACAGGCUGAUACCGCCCAAGAGUUCAUAUCGACGGCGGUGUUUGGCACCUCGAUGUCGGCUCAUCACAUCCUGGGGCUGAAGUAGGUCCCAAGGGUAUGGCUGUUCGCCAUUUAAAGUGGUACGCGAGCUGGGUUUAGAACGUCGUGAGACAGUUCGGUCCCUAUCUGCCGUGGGCGCUGGAGAAUUGAGGGGGGCUGCUCCUAGUACGAGAGGACCGGAGUGGACGCAUCACUGGUGUUCGGGUUGUCAUGCCAAUGGCACUGCCCGGUAGCUAAAUGCGGAAGAGAUAAGUGCUGAAAGCAUCUAAGCACGAAACUUGCCCCGAGAUGAGUUCUCCCUGAGACUUUAAGUCUCCUGAAGGAACGUUGAAGACGACGACGUUGAUAGGCCGGGUGUGUAAGCGCAGCGAUGCGUUGAGCUAACCGGUACUAAUGAACCGUGAGGCUUAACCUU
rnacentral:rRNA from 1 species